AUUCUUCAGAGACUGAUUUGGUUUGCAUCAGUGCUAAAAAUCUGUUCCUCUCCUGCUUUCCAACAGAGAUAGAAAUAAAGCUGUCCAGCAACAGAGUUAUGAUGGUGGUUAUUAGUCUCCUUCCUCCUGAAGAACAAGAAAGGUUAAAGGAGUUUCAAAAUAAUGUGACCUCUAAAGCUGCAGCAGGGGACUGCCAGAGGUGCCCAGAUGUUCCUGUGUUUCUGAGCAGGGCACUGCCUGAGCCACUCAUUCCAGAACUUGAGUAUGUCUCUCUCCUUUGUCCUUUGGGUAUUGGAUUGAGAAUCCCAGAAGAGUUUGGGUUGGAUGGGACCUUGAGGAUCAUCCUGCUAGCAUUCAGGAACACACAUAAUCACAGAAUGAUUAUAUGAAGGUGUUUUAUUGGAGAGCUCUGGGUGUCAGGGGUACACAGACCCAAAUCUGAC
rnacentral:lncRNA from 1 species